CGAGCGUUAUCGGAUUUAUUGGGUUUAAGGGUGCGUAGGCUGGGAAAUAAGUCAGCGGUGAAAGUUCAGGGCUUAACUUUGAAAUUGCCGUUGAAACUGUUUUUCUUGAGUAUAUUGGAAGUAGGCGGAAUGUGUAGUGUAGCGGUGAAAUGCAUAGAUAUUACACAGAACCCCGAUUGCGAAGGCAGCUUACUAUACUAUUACUGACGCUGAUGCACGAAAGCGUGGGGAUCAAACAGGAUUAGAUACCCUGGUAGUCCACGCUGUAAACGAUGAUAACUCGCUGUUUGCGAUAUACCGCAAGUGGCCAAGCGAAAGCGUUAAGUUAUCCACCUGGGGAGUACGCCGGCAACGGUGAAACUCAAAGGAAUUGACGGGGGCCCGCACAAGCGGAGGAACAUGUGGUUUAAUUCGAUGAUACGCGAGGAACCUUACCCGGGCUUGAAAUGCAUCUGACGUACUGUGAAAGCAGUAUUCUAGCAAUAGCAGAUGUGUAGGUGCUGCAUGGUUGUCGUCAGCUCGUGCCGUGAGGUGUCGGCUUAAGUGCCAUAACGAGCGCAACCCUUAUCAAUAGUUACCAUCAGGUCAAGCUGGGGACUCUAUUGAGACUGCCACCGUAAGGUGUGAGGAAGGUGGGGAUGACGUCAAAUCAGCACGGCCCUUACGUCCGGGGCGACACACGUGUUACAAUGGGGGGUACAGAGGGCCGCUACCUGGCAACAGGAUGCGAAUCUCAUAAAGCCCCUCUCAGUUCGGAUCGGAGUCUGCAACUCGACUCCGUGAAGCUGGAUUCGCUAGUAAUCGCGCAUCAGCCAUGGCGCGGUGAAUACGUUCCCGGGCCUUGUACACACCGCCCGUCAAGCCAUGGAAGCCGGGGGUACCUGAAGUACGUAACCGCAAGGAGCGUCCUAGGGUAAAACUGGUAACUGGGGCUAAGUCGUAACAAGGUAACC
rnacentral:rRNA from 1 species